rnacentral:rRNA from 1 species
CCUACGGGAGGCAGCAGUGAGGAAUAUUGGUCAAUGGCCGGAAGGCUGAACCAGCCAAGCCGCGUGAAGGACGAAGGUGCCAAGCAUUGUAAACUUCUUUUGUCAAGGGACAAAAUCAGGCUCGAGAGCCUGACCGAGGGUACUUGAAGAAAAAGCAUCGGCUAACUCCGUGCCAGCAGCCGCGGUAAUACGGAGGAUGCGAGUGUUAUCCGGAUUUAUUGGGUUUAAAGGGUGCGUAGGCGGACUGUUAAGUCAGCGGUAAAAGCCCGGGGCUCAACCCCGGCGAGCCGUUGAAACUGGCUGUAUUGAGAUGUCGAGAGGUAUGCGGAAUGCGCAGUGUAGCGGUGAAAUGCUUAGAUAUUGCGCAGAACUCCGAUUGCGAAGGCAGCAUACUGGCGGCGAUCUGACGCUGAGGCACGAAAGUGUGGGUAUCGAACAGGAUUAGAUACCCGUGUAGUC